CCGUCCAGCCUUCAGUGCUGCUCCUCUUUCCAGCUGUGACAGAGGACUUGGGGCGGACGUAGAUCAAACCAACUCUUAAUUUAGGAGGGCUUCCUGGAGCUAAGGCUAGCCCUCAAAGGCACAAGAGGACAUU
ensembl:scaRNA small Cajal body-specific RNA 11